ACGCACGCUGGCGGCAUGCCUAACCCAUGCAAGUCGAACGAGACCUUCGGGUCUAGUGGCGCACGGGUGCGUAACGCGUGGGAACCUGCCCUUAGGUUCGGAAUAACUCCCCGAAAGGGGUGCUAAUACCGGAUAAUGUCUUCGGACCAAAGAUUUAUCGCCUUUGGAUGGGCCCGCGUUGGAUUAGCUAGUUGGUAGGGUAAAAGCCUACCAAGGCGACGAUCCAUAGCUGGUCUGAGAGGAUGAUCAGCCACACUGGGACUGAGACACGGCCCAGACUCCUACGGGAGGCAGCAGUGGGGAAUAUUGGACAAUGGGCGAAAGCCUGAUCUAGCAAUGCCGCGUGAGUGAUGAAGGCCUUAGGGUUGUAAAGCUCUUUUACCCGGGAUGAUAAUGACAGUACCGGGAGAAUAAGCUCCGGCUAACUCCGUG
rnacentral:rRNA from 1 species